rnacentral:rRNA from 1 species
UACGGAGGGUGCGAGCGUUGUCCGGAAUCACUGGGCGUAAAGGGCGCGUAGGCGGCAUGCCAAGCGUGUGGUGAAAUCCCCGGGCUCAACCCCGGGAACUGCGUCCGAUACUGGCAGGCUUGAAUCCGGGAGAGGGAUGCGGAAUUCCAGGUGUAGCGGUGAAAUGCGUAGAUAUCGGGAGGAACACCGGUGGCGAAGGCGGCGAUCUGGGUAGAUACUGACGCUGAGGUGCGAAAGCGUGGGGAGCAAACAGG